AGAGUUUGAUCCUGGCUCAGGAUGAACGCUGGCGGCGUGCUUAACACAUGCAAGUCGAACGAUGAUCCCAGCUUGCUGGGGGAUUAGUGGCGAACGGGUGAGUAACACGUGAGUAACCUGCCCUUAACUCUGGGAUAAGCCUGGGAAACUGGGUCUAAUACCGGAUAUGACUCCUCAUCGCAUGGUGGGGGGUGGAAAGCUUUAUUGUGGUUUUGGAUGGACUCGCGGCCUAUCAGCUUGUUGGUGAGGUAAUGGCUCACCAAGGCGACGACGGGUAGCCGGCCUGAGAGGGUGACCGGCCACACUGGGACUGAGACACGGCCCAGACUCCUACGGGAGGCAGCAGUGGGGAAUAUUGCACAAUGGGCGAAAGCCUGAUGCAGCGACGCCGCGUGAGGGAUGACGGCCUUCGGGUUGUAAACCUCUUUCAGUAGGGAAGAAGCGAAAGUGACGGUACCUGCAGAAGAAGCGCCGGCUAACUACGUGCCAGCAGCCGCGGUAAUACGUAGGGCGCAAGCGUUAUCCGGAAUUAUUGGGCGUAAAGAGCUCGUAGGCGGUUUGUCGCGUCUGCCGUGAAAGUCCGGGGCUCAACUCCGGAUCUGCGGUGGGUACGGGCAGACUAGAGUGAUGUAGGGGAGACUGGAAUUCCUGGUGUAGCGGUGAAAUGCGCAGAUAUCAGGAGGAACACCGAUGGCGAAGGCAGGUCUCUGGGCAUUAACUGACGCUGAGGAGCGAAAGCAUGGGGAGCGAACAGGAUUAGAUACCCUGGUAGUCC
rnacentral:rRNA from 2 species